rnacentral:rRNA from 1 species
UACGUAGGACCCAAGCGUUAUCCGGAAUUACUGGGCGUAAAGAGUUGCGUAGGUGGUUUGUUAAGUGGAACGUGAAAGCGUGUGGCUCAACCAUACAGCUGCGUUUUAAACUGGCAAACUGGAGUGCGAGAGAGGUAGAUGGAAUUCCCAGUGUAGGAGUGAAAUCCGUAGAUAUUGGGAGGAACACCGAUGGCGUAAGCAGUCUACUGGCUCGUUACUGACACUAAGGCACGAAAGCGUGGGGAGCAAA